AACGCUAGCUACAGGCUUAACACAUGCAAGUCGAGGGGUAACAAGAGGAAAGCUUGCUUUUCUUGUUGACGACCGGCGCACGGGUGAGUAACGCGUAUCCAACCUGCCUAUAACUAGGGAAUAACCUUGCGAAAGUAAGACUAAUACCCUAUGAUUUCCUUUAAUGGCAUCAGAUUAGGAAUAAAGAUUUAUCGGUUAUAGAUGGGGAUGCGUCUGAUUAGCUUGUUGGCGGGGUAACGGCCCACCAAGGCAACGAUCAGUAGGGGUUCUGAGAGGAAGGUCCACCACAUUGGAACUGAGACACGGUCCAAACUCCUACGGGAGGCAGCAGUGAGGAAUAUUGGUCAAUGGGCGGAAGCCUGAACCAGCCAAGUAGCGUGCAGGAUGACGGCCCUAUGGGUUGUAAACUGCUUUUAUACAGGAAUAAAGUUAGCCACGUGUGGUUAUUUGUAGGUACUGUAUGAAUAAGGACCGGCUAAUUCCGUGCCAGCAGCCGCGGUAAUACGGAAGGUCCAGGCGUUAUCCGGAUUUAUUGGGUUUAAAGGGAGCGUAGGCCGUCUGUUAAGCGUGUUGUGAAAUGUAGAUGCUCAACAUCUGAAUUGCAGCGCGAACUGGCAGACUUGAGUGUGCGCAACGUAGGCGGAAUUCGUGGUGUAGCGGUGAAAUGCUUAGAUAUCACGAAGAACUCCGAUUG
rnacentral:rRNA from 1 species